rnacentral:rRNA from 10 species
GGACCUCAGAUCAGGCAAGAUUACCCGCUGAGUUUAAGCAUAUCACUAAGCGGAGGAAAAGAAACUAACUAGG